rnacentral:rRNA from 1 species
GAUGAACGCUGGCGGCGUGCCUAAUACAUGCAAGUCGAGCGAACAGAUAAGGAGCUUGCUCCUUUGACGUUAGCGGCGGACGGGUGAGUAACACGUGGAUAACCUACCUAUAAGACUGGGAUAACUUCGGGAAACCGGAGCUAAUACCGGAUAACAUAUUGAACCGCAUGGUUCAAUAGUGAAAGGCGGCUUUGCUGUCACUUAUAGAUGGAUCCGCGCCGUAUUAGCUAGUUGGUAAGGUAACGGCUUACCAAGGCAACGAUACGUAGCCGACCUGAGAGGGUGAUCGGCCACACUGGAACUGAGACACGGUCCAGACGCCUACGGGAGGCAGCAGUAGGGAAUCUUCCGCAAUGGGCGAAAGCCUGACGGAGCAACGCCGCGUGAGUGAUGAAGGUCUUCGGAUCGUAAAACUCUGUUAUCAGGGAAGAACAAAUGUGUAAGUAACUGUGCACAUCUUGACGGUACCUGAUCAGAAAGCCACGGCUAACUACGUG